rnacentral:ncRNA from 1 species
GACUGCUUGCCGCCGGGUAAGCGCUGUGCGUUGAUUUCGUAUCGUUAGGCCAAUGUAGAUACGAAAGUCAGCGCUUUAUUUUUG